ACUUAAAUAGUUUAAUGAGAAUAUCAAUUUGUGGUGUUGAAGGUAUAUUUAUAUUUUAGGUA
rnacentral:tRNA from 1 species